rnacentral:rRNA from 1 species
UUGAUCCCUGGCUCAGGAUGAACGCUGGCGGCGUGCUUAACACAUGCAAGUCGAACGAUGACCCGGUGCUUGCACCGGUGAUUAGUGGCGAACGGGUGAGUAACACGUGAGUAACCUGCCCUUAACUCUGGGAUAAGCCUGGGAAACUGGGUCUAAUACCGGAUAUGACUCCUCAUCGCAUGGUGGGGGGUGGAAAGCUUUAUUGUGGUUUUGGAUGGACUCGCGGCCUAUCAGCUUGUUGGUGAGGUAAUGGCUCACCAAGGCGACGACGGGUAGCCGGCCUGAGAGGGUGACCGGCCACACUGGGACUGAGACACGGCCCAGACUCCUACGGGAGGCAGCAGUGGGGAAUAUUGCACAAUGGGCGCAAGCCUGAUGCAGCGACGCCGCGUGAGGGAUGACGGCCUUCGGGUUGUAAACCUCUUUCAGUAGGGAAGAAGCGAAAGUGACGGUACCUGCAGAAGAAGCGCCGGCUAACUU